CAGUAAUGUUUGCGAAGCCUAUUAAUCUUUACCGGAUGUGACAUCACGCUCCUGCCUUUAAAAGCGACCAGUCGGCGAAGGAACGUUCUCUUGUCAUUGGUGCCAUCUUAGGAAGGCCUUUCUUCUCAAGAUGAGAGCCAAGUGGAGGAAGAAGCGUAUGCGCAGACUGAAGCGUAAAAGGAGAAAGAUGAGGCAGAGGUCCAAGUAAACGCUCCCUCCAUUGCUCCGGAGACCUGGAAGCAAAAGCAUUGCUCCUGAAGACUUCACAUGGAGAUGGCUAAGCACUGACAAUACUUAUCACCGAUUCAUGACUGAACCUCUUGACUUCUGCGGGUCCAUGUGCGAGUCGGCGGGAAACCUCCACCUUGCUGAAUAACACCAUGCUGGACUGAUGAUCCUGAAACCAUGCUGAUGUGUGUCAGGAGUUUGGACUUGUUUCUGGUCUCUUCGAGCAAGCAUAAUAAAGUUAUGUUUUGGUUAAACAAGCUGAAAA